rnacentral:rRNA from 1 species
AGUGAACGCUGGCGGCGUGCUUAACACAUGCAAGUCGAACGAGAACGGAUUAUAGCUUGCUAUAAUUGUCAGCUAAGUGGCGCACGGGUGAGUAAUGUAUAGGUAAUAUGCCUCUUACUAAGGGAUAACAAAUGGAAACGUUUGCUAAUACCUUAUACUCCUUAUUAACAGAAGUUAAUAAGGGAAAGAUUUAUUGGUAAGAGAUUAGCCUGUAUUGUAUCAGUUAGUUGGUGGGGUAAUGGCUUACCAAGACUAUGACACAUAACUGGUUUGAGAGGAUGAUCAGUCACACUGGAACUGAGACACGGACCAGACUCCUACGGGAGGCAGCAGUGGGGAAUAUUGCACAAUGGACGAAAGUCUGAUGCAGCAACGCCGCGUGGAGGAUGACACAUUUCGGUGCGUAAACUCCUUUAUAUGAGAAGAUAAUGACGGUAUUAUAUGAAUAAGCACCGGCUAACUCCGUGCCAGCAGCCGCCGUAA